rnacentral:rRNA from 1 species
AUGCGGCGUCGUAUACCCCCCAGAAAGAAAACCCCCGAAACAAAUGGAAAAUCGAACCUCCUCCGAUUUCCCAACCCCCAGGACGCCUAUGGUUUCGCUGUGCGGCCACAGCACUUGCAACGGUACAGAGAGUAUGCAAACAUCUACCAGGAGGAGGAAGAGGAGCGGUCUGAUAGAUGGAAGAACUUUCUGGAUAGGCAGGCAGAAGACGAUGAAUCAUCUGGAGAAGAUGCUAAGAUUGCACCGUCCAUUGAGGAUGAAGGAGCUAUAGGCGAUGCUGGCAGGACUGACCUGCCUGAUGAGAAGACAGCCAAACAGCAGAGACCACAUAAGAUCCAAAUAUGGUCUGAAAUCAGGCCUUCACUGGGCCACAUUGGGGAGCUGAUGAGCUUGCGUGUCAAGAAGAAGAAGAAGCAAUCUUCUGCUGACGAGGAGAACACUGAAGAUAUCAAGCCCUCAGAGGACUCUGAUGAUGAGUUCUAUGAUGUAGAGAAGGUUGAUCCCAGCGAAGGGCCUGUUGCUGACAGCACCAAUGCGGAUUCAGGAACGAAUAGAGCUGCAAGUCAAGAAGGGUAUUUUCCUUGGAAAGAAGAAUUGGAGUGCUUAGUUCGUGGUGGGUUGCCAAUGGCUCUGAGAGGAGAGCUAUGGCAAGCUUUUGUUGGUAUUGGAGCUCGCCGAGUGAAAGGGUACUACGAGAGUCUCCUUGGGGUGGUUGAUGGAGGCGGAGACAGCAAAGGUUCCGAUUCUCCGACUAAGGAAUGUGGCGACGGAAAACCAAAAGCAUCUCAAGAUCUUUCUUCAGAAAAGUGGAAAGGGCAAAUAGAGAAGGAUUUGCCUAGAACAUUUCCAGGCCAUCCAGCUCUAGACGAGGAUGGCAGAAAUGCUUUAAGACGCUUGCUCACAGCUUAUGCUAGACAUAAUCCAUCAGUCGGUUACUGCCAGGCAAUGAACUUCUUUGCUGGUCUAUUACUUCUAUUGAUGUCUGAGGAGAACGCAUUCUGGGCAUUGACAGGCAUUAUGGAUGACUAUUUUGAGGGUUACUUCUCUGAAGAAAUGAUCGAGUCUCAGGUGGAUCAGCUUGUUUUAGAGGAGUUGGUCAGAGAGAAAUUCCCCAAGUUAGUAAAUCACUUGGACUACCUUGGUGUACAAGUUGCAUGGGUUGCUGGACCAUGGUUCCUAUCUAUAUACAUGAACAUGCUUCCCUGGGAAACUGUUCUUCGUGUGUGGGAUGUGCUUCUGUUUGAUGGAAAUCGUGUGAUGCUCUUCCGGACAGCCCUUGCACUUAUGGAGUUGUAUGGUCCUGCACUUGUGACAACGAAAGAUGCUGGGGACGCCGUAACUCUCUUACAGUCUUUAGCUGGUUCCACUUUUGACAGCAGCCAGCUUGUUUUAACAGCUUGCAUGGGAUAUCAAGCUGUAGAUGAAGCAAGGCUUCAAGAUCUGAGAAAUAAACACCGGCCAUCUGUUUUGUCUUCAAUGGAAAACAGAGCAAAAGGUCUUCUUGCAUGGAGGAGCACCAACGGUCUUGCAUCAAAGCUAUACAAUUUCAAGCGUGACACUGAACCAUUGGUGUCAAUAUCAACAGAACAGUUGAAUGACUCAACAGAUGGGGAUGCUAACCAAGAAACCAGUUCUGCAAAUAUUGAUGAUAUGUAUCAUGGCUUGACUGUCAACACUGAGAUUGAUUCUAUGCCUGAUCCCAAAGAUCAGGUUAUCUGGCUGAAGGUUGAGCUAUGUAGAUUGCUAGAGGAGAGAAGAUCAGCUGUUCUGAGGGCUGAUGAACUAGAGACAGCACUGAUGGAGAUGGUUAAGCAAGAUAAUCGACGUGAAUUAAGUGCAAAGGUAGAGCAGUUAGAACAAGAAUUAUCCGAGCUAAGGCAAUCUCUAUCAGACAAGGAGGAACAGGAACAAGCAAUGCUUCAGGUCCUCAUGCGUGUAGAGCAAGAACAGAAGGUUACAGAGGAUGCCCGCAUCUUUGCUGAGCAAGAUGCAGCUGCUCAGAAAUUUGCUUCACAUGUCCUUCAGGAAAAGUAUGAUGAAGCUAUGGCUUCACUCACGCAAAUGGAGAACAGAGCAGUCAUGGCAGAAACAAUGUUGGAGGCAACACUUCAAUACCAAUCUAGCCAUCAGAAAGCACAACUACCAUCCCCUUCUCCUUCUCCAAGGACACCAACGCGAGACGCAUCUCCUGGCCAAGUGAACCAAGAUUCAUCACAGGAGUUUCAGCCUAGAAAAAUAAGUUUGCUUGCCCCAUUUUCACUCAGUUGGCGUGACAAGAACAAGGGCAAACAAGACGAGUCAACAAACGGCAAGCUUAAUAACAACACUGAGCAAAGUGUUGAGACACCAAAGACAGACCACGGAAACCAGGAGGCCACGCCUAAAGAGGGUGAACAGCGAGUGGAGACACCCAACAGGGAUGAACCCGGAUUGGAGACGGCCAAGAUGGACAGCGAUGUGCCAACUGUCGAGACGACCACGGAUAAAAUGAACGGGCAGGAAGGACAUUUAGAAGAAAUAAAACUGGAUUGA